GGCCUGCUGGCGCAAUGGUAGCGCGUGGCCCUCCUAAGGCCAAGGUUGUGUGUUCGAGUCGCACGUAGGUCG